UACGAAGGGUGCAAACGUUGCUCGGAAUCAUUGGGCGUAAAGCGCACGUAGGCGGCGCUGCAAGUCGGACGUGAAAUCCCUCGGCUCAACCGAGGACGUGCAUCCGAAACUGCAGUGCUCGAGUAUGGAAGAGGGUCGCGGAAUUCUCGGUGUAAAGGUGAAAUUCGUAGAUAUCGGGAGGAACACCAGUGGCGAAGGCGGCGACCUGGGCCAAUACUGACGCUGAGGUGCGAAAGCGUGGGGAGCAAACAGG
rnacentral:rRNA from 1 species